rnacentral:rRNA from 1 species
UACGUAGGGGUCUAGCGUUGUCCGGAAUUAUUGGGCGUAAAGAGCUCGUAGGCGGCUUGUCGCGUCGAAUGUGAAAACUCGGGGCUCAACCCCGCGCUUGCAUUCGAUACGGGCAGGCUCGAGUUCGGUAGGGGAGACUGGAAUUCCUGGUGUAGCGGUGAAAUGCGCAGAUAUCAGGAGGAACACCGGUGGCGAAGGCGGGUCUCUGGGCCGAUACUGACGCUGAGGAGCGAAAGCGUGGGGAGCGAACAGG